rnacentral:rRNA from 1 species
GAACGCCCCGCAAGGGGAGUGGCAGACGGGUGAGUAACACGUGGGAACGUCCCCCUCGGUUCGGAAUAACUCAGGGAAACUUGAGCUAAUACCGGAUACGUCCGAGAGGAGAAAGAUUUAUCGCCGAGGGAUCGGCCCGCGUCUGAUUAGCUAGUUGGUGAGGUAAUGGCUCACCAAGGCGACGAUCAGUAGCUGGUCUGAGAGGAUGACCAGCCACACUGGGACUGAGACACGGCCCAGACUCCUACGGGAGGCAGCAGUGGGGAAUCUUGGACAAUGGGCGAAAGCCUGAUCCAGCCAUGCCGCGUGAGUGAUGAAGGCCUUAGGGUUGUAAAGCUCUUUCGACGGGGACGAUAAUGACGGUACCCGUAGAAGAAGCCCCGGCUAACUUCGUG